rnacentral:rRNA from 1 species
UUUUAGAGAUAGGAGUAGUGCCUUCGGGGAACAUGAAAACAGGUGCUGCACGGCUGUCGUCAGCUCGUGUCGUGAGAUGUUGGGUUAAGUCCCGCAACGAGCGCAACCCUCGUCCUUAGUUGCCAGCAGGUUAAGCUGGGCACUUUAAGGAGACUGCCUUCGCAAGGAGGAGGAAGGUGAGGACGACGUCAAGUCAUCAUGGCCCUUAUGGCUAGGGCUACACACGUGCUACAAUGGGGCGUACAGAGAGUUGCGAUACCGCGAGGUGGAGCCAGUCUCAUAAAGCGUCUCUCAGUUCGGAUUGAAGUCUGCAACUCGACUUCAUGAAGCUGGAAUCACUAGUAAUCGUAGAUCAGCAAUGCUACGGUGAAUACGUUCCCGGGUCUUGUACUCACCGCCCGUCACA